rnacentral:rRNA from 1 species
GACGAACGCUGGCGGCGUGCUUAACACAUGCAAGUCGAACGGAAAGGCCCUGCUUUUGUGGGGUGCUCGAGUGGCGAACGGGUGAGUAACACGUGAGUAACCUGCCCUUGACUUUGGGAUAACUUCAGGAAACUGGGGCUAAUACCGGAUAGGAGCUCCUGCUGCAUGGUGGGGGUUGGAAAGUUUCGGCGGUUGGGGAUGGACUCGCGGCUUAUCAGCUUGUUGGUGGGGUAGUGGCUUACCAAGGCUUUGACGGAUAGCCGGCCUGAGAGGGUGACCGGCCACAUGGGGACUGAGAUACGGCCCAGACUCCUACGGGAGGCAGCAGUGGGGAAUAUUGCACAAUGGGCGGAAGCCUGAUGCAGCAACGCCGCGUGCGGGAUGACGGCCUUCGGGUUGUAAACCGCUUUCGCCUGUGACGAAGCGUGAGUGACGGUAAUGGGUAAAGAAGCACCGGCUAACUACGU